rnacentral:piRNA from 1 species
UGAGUUCUUCCACUCGCCUUCAUCGAUACUC